rnacentral:rRNA from 1 species
GUCUCCGGACAUAUCAGCUUGAAGGCGCCCGAUCUCCUCUGCUCUCCGAAGCUAAGCAGGGUCUGGGCCUGGUUAGCAUCUUGGAUGGGAGACCACCUGGGAAUCCCGGGUGCUGGAGGCU